UACGUAGGGUGCGAGCGUUAAUCGGAAUUACUGGGCGUAAAGCGUGCGCAGGCGGUUUUGUAAGCCAGAUGUGAAAUCCCCGGGCUUAACCUGGGAAUGGCAUUUGGGACUGCAAGGCUUGAGUGCGGCAGAGGAGACUGGAAUUCCUGGUGUAGCAGUGAAAUGCGUAGAUAUCUAGAGGAACGCCAAAGGUGAAGACAGGCGACUGGUUUGCAACUGACGCUCAUGGACGAAAGCGUGGGGAUCAAACGGG
rnacentral:rRNA from 1 species